rnacentral:rRNA from 1 species
UACGUAGGUGGCAAGCGUUAUCCGGAAUUACUGGGCGUAAAGCGCACGCAGGCGGCUAGUCAAGUUCGACGUGAAAGCUCCCGGCUUAACUGGGAGAGGUCGUUGAAAACUGGUUAGCUUGAGGCAAUGAGAGGGGUGUAGAAUUCCCGGUGUGGUGGUGGAAUGCGUAGAUAUCGGGAGGAAUACCAGUGGCGAAAGCGGCACCCUAGCGUUGUUCUGACGCUCAUGUGCGAAAGCGUGGGGAGCGAACGGG